UACGUAGGGUGCAAGCGUUGUCCGGAAUUAUUGGGCGUAAAGAGCUCGUAGGCGGUCUGUCGCGUCUGCUGUGAAAACCUAGGGCUUAACUCUGGGCGUGCAGUGGGUACGGGCAGGCUAGAGUGCGGUAGGGGAGACUGGAAUUCCUGGUGUAGCGGUGAAAUGCGCAGAUAUCAGGAGGAACACCGGCGGCGAAGGCGGGUCUCUGGGCCUAUGACUCUGAGGAGCGAAAGCGUGGGGAGCGAACAGG
rnacentral:rRNA from 1 species